rnacentral:lncRNA from 1 species
GGCGAAAUGGGUCCACCUACCCGUGGAAAGUGAGCAGCACAUCAGUGGGCGGAGUGGGAGACGUUGCCGUGAACCGUGGAUCCACCUUUCUGAGCGGGAGAGGGUCGUUUGGGGUCAAAAGAGCUUUCCUUGCAAAGCACGCAUCGGUUUUAAUACAGAGGGAGAGUUAUUUAUUUUGCCCAUUCUGAUUUAAUCCCAUUUCCACCAUGGCAGAUGAUGUGAGCUUUGCGGAGGGAGGGAGAGAAUAGCAAAGUUUAGGAUGCAAGAAGCAACGAAGGAAACCAGCGCUCCUCUGACCAUGUACAGAGUGUUUAGAGUGUCUCCUUUUCUCCCAGUGGGAAAGAUCUAGAGCCCUCCAUAGAGUGGGCAUGCCUGCCAGCUCCCCUUGAGUCUUAGAACCUGGGGCAACGGGCGCAGGGUGUGUGUACGACUCUGGGGUGUGUGGGUGUCACGUGGGUGAGUCAUUUGACAGGUGGGUUGAUUUCUUCCAGCCUGUGCCGUCAGCUGUCACAAGCACUGCCGGGACCUUCUCUCCGUGGAGUGCCGCAAGCGCACGAAGAGCGUCAGCCUCGAUGGACCAGCGACCUUGCCCGCCCGGUCCUUCAGCUUCUCUUUGCCACGUCCGGGACGGGCAUCUCUGCGGCAUACAGAAAUCCAGGAGGAAAGCACACAAGCUGUGGAGGACGGGGUUUUUGAUGUCCACCUAUGAGGCCGGUACUGAGAGGCUGCCUAGGAGCCGGGCAUCAGAACCGCGUCCUCUUCUCUCCGCCCUUCCGCCAGUAAGUCCUCUGCUGGGCUCUGGGACCGACCCUCGCAGCGACUCGAGACCCGGGACGUAUGUUUCUAAUGGUGGUGGUCAUGGGGGUGGGGGUUAAGAAGGGCAGAGAGGAAGGGCACCCCAUGAAGAAGUCCCUGGGUUUAGGCAAUCGUUGCCCCCUCGAUGGUGCCACUUUCUUAGCACAGUUGCUUGCAAAGGUUACUACCGCAAGGGUCAAGAAGAGACCUGAUUUUUUUGGGGGGGGGCGCGCGUUCCGAAACCAUUCUGUACAUUUGUAUCAAGAACUGGAUUCAGAGGUGUAAUAAUAAUUCUAAUAAAAGUUGACUCUUCCAUUCUGGCUGGCUGUUU